rnacentral:tRNA from 1 species
GCGAAAGUGGUGAAAUUGGCAGACACGCUAGAUUUAGGCUCUAGUGCCGAGAGGCUUAGGGGUUCAAGUCCCCUCUUUCGCA